ACGAGGAUCCGAUUGUGUUGAGGG
rnacentral:siRNA from 1 species